rnacentral:rRNA from 1 species
CUCAGGACGAACGCUGGCGGCGUGCCUAAUACAUGCAAGUCGAACGGUCUUUCUAUGGAAGCUUGCUUCCACUGAGAAGAUAGUGGCGAACGGGUGAGUAACACGUGGGUAACCUGCCCAUAAGAGGGGGGAUAACAUCCGGAAACGGGUGCUAAUACCGCAUAGUUUUCUUGAUCGCAUGAUUGAGAAAGGAAAGAUGGCCUUUGUGCUAUCGCUUAUGGAUGGACCCGCGGCGUAUUAGUUAGUUGGUGAGGUAACGGCUCACCAAGACGAUGAUACGUAGCCGACCUGAGAGGUGAUCGGCCACAUUGGGACUGAGACACGGCCCAAACUCCUACGGGAGGCAGCAGUAGGGAAUCUUCCGCAAUGGACGAAAGUCUGACGGAGCAACGCCGCGUGAGUGAAAGAAGGUUUUCGGAUCGUAAAACUCUGUUGUCAGAGAAGAACAAGUUGGAGAGUAACUGCUCCAGCCUUGACGGUAUCUGACCAGAAAGCCACGGCUAACUACGUGCCAGCCGCCGC